GACGAACGCUGGCGGCGUGCUUAACACAUGCAAGUCGAACGGAAAGGCCCUGCUUUUGUGGGGUGCUCGAGUGGCGAACGGGUGAGUAACACGUGAGUAACCUGCCCUUGACUUUCGGAUAACUUCAGGAAACUGGGGCUAAUACCGGAUAGGAUCUCCUGCUGCAUGGUGGGGGUUGGAAAGUUUCGGCGGUUGGGGCUGGACUCGCGGCUUAUCAGCUUGUUGGUGGGGUAGUGGCUUACCAAGGCUUUGACGGGUAGCCGGCCUGAGAGGGUGACCGGCCACAAGGGGACUGAGAUACGGACCAGACGCCUACGGGAGGCAGCAGGGGGGAAUAUUGCACAAUGGGCGGAAGCCUGAUGCAGCAACGCCGCGUGCGGGAUGACGGCCUUCGGGGUGUAAACCGCUGUCGCCUGUGACGAAGCGGGAGUGACGGUAAUGGGUAAAGAAGCACCGGCUAACUACGUG
rnacentral:rRNA from 1 species